UGUGAUAGCUUUCACUUGGUGUCAUGUCU
rnacentral:piRNA from 1 species